AAACUAACAAGGAUUCCCCUAGUAGCGGCGAGCGAAGCGGGAAGAGCUCAAAUUUAUAAUCUGGCACCUUCGGUGUCCGAGUUGUAAUCUCUAGAAGUGUUUUCCGCGUUGGACCGCGCAUAAGUCUGUUGGAAUACAGCGGCACAGUGGUGAGACCCCCGUAUGUGGUGCGGACGCCCAGCGCUUUGUGAUACACUUUCGAAGAGUCGAGUUGUUUGGGAAUGCAGCUCAAAUUGGGUGGUAAAUUCCAUCUAAAGCUAAAUAUUGGCGAGAGACCGAUAGCGAACAAGUACCGUGAGGGAAAGAUGAAAAGCACUUUGGAAAGAGAGUUAACAGUACGUGAAAUUGUUGGAAGGGAAACGCUUGAAGUCAGACUUGCUUGCCGGGCAACCGGUUUGCAGGCCAGCAUCAGUUUUCCGGGGUGGAUAAUGGUAGAGAGAAGGUAGCAGUUUCGGCUGUGUUAUAGCUCUCUACUGGAUACACCUUGGGGGACUGAGGAACGCAGUGUGCCUUACGGCGGAGGUUUCGACCUCUCACACUUAGGAUGC
rnacentral:rRNA from 1 species